ensembl:lncRNA
CACCUGCAGGGAUCCUCCCUUGUGGCCCUCUCCCUGCUUGAAGUCCCACCCAAAAGGCUUGGGGACAUAGCAGCAGCUGCCUCGGUACAGAGGAUAGAUAAAUUUUGUUUGAUGCCCUCUCUCCAUACUACAAUGCCUGGACCGAGGAAUUCCUCCCAUGUUUUGUUUCUCAGUCCUUCCUUGUCUUUCGUGACCUUGACACUUUUGAAGAAUACAAUUGAGAUUCCAGCUUUGGCCAUGGGGAACUCCUUCAUGCUGGCUCCUGCAUCCUUCGGACAUGCCCUGUCCUUCUGUGAGCACGGUCUUACUUUCUGGCCCCACAAGAUAUUCCAGGCUCAUCUUGUAAUUUCCCUGCUCCAGUCCUGGACUCAGCCACUUCUCCAAGAAGCUCUGAUUCUUUUUCUUAGAGAAUGGUAU